GCUGGGCGCAAUGGCACACACCUGUAAUCCCAUCAGCUCGGGAGGCUGAGGCAGGAGGAUCACAAGUUCAAAGCCAGCUCAACAACAGUGAGGCACUAAGUAGCUCAGUGAGCCCCUGUCUCUA
rnacentral:sRNA from 1 species